CUGCGUGACGAAGCCCGCGCUAAAGUAGACAAUAAAGCCUAAGGUAUACGAGAGUCGCCAGACGCGCUAAGCCGGCGUUUUUAU
rnacentral:sRNA from 1 species